rnacentral:rRNA from 1 species
UACAUGUGGGGCAAGCGUUGUUCGGAAUUACUGGGCAUAAAGGGCGCGUAGGCGGCCUUGUCAGUCAGGCGUGAAAGCCCCGGGCUCAACCUGGGAACGGCGCUUGGGACGGCGAGGCUGGAGUUCGGGAGAGGAGAGUGGAAUUCCCAGUGUAGAGGUGAAAUUCGUAGAUAUUGGGAAGAACACCGGUGGCGAAGGCGGCUCUCUGGACCGACACUGACGCUGAGGCGCGAAAGCGUGGGGAGCAAACAGG